GAUGAGUUCUCCCUGAGACUUUAGGUCUCCUGAAGGAACGUUGAAGACGACGACGUUGAUAGGCCGGGUGUGUAAGCGCAGCGAUGCGUUGAGCUAACCGGUACUAAUGAACCGUGAGGCUUAACCUUACAACGCCGAAGCUGUU
rnacentral:rRNA from 1 species